AUUGAACGCUCGCGGAAUGCUUUACACAUGCAAGUCGAACGGCAGCACGGGGGCAGCCCUGGUGGCGAGUGGCGAACGGGUGAGUAAUACAUCGGAACGUGCCCGGUCGUGGGGGAUAACGUAGCGAAAGUUACGCUAAUACCGCAUACGAUCUGAGGAUGAAAGCGGGGGACCUUCGGGCCUCGCGCGAUCGGAGCGGCCGAUGUCAGAUUAGGUAGUUGGUGGGGUAAAGGCCUACCAAGCCGACGAUCUGUAGCUGGUCUGAGAGGACGACCAGCCACACUGGGACUGAGACACGGCCCAGACUCCUACGGGAGGCAGCAGUGGGGAAUUUUGGACAAUGGGCGCAAGCCUGAUCCAGCCAUUCCGCGUGCAGGACGAAGGCCUUCGGGUUGUAAACUGCUUUUGUACGGAACGAAAAGGCUCUGGCUAAUACCUGGGGCUCAUGACGGUACCGGAAGAAUAAGCACCGGCUAACUACGUG
rnacentral:rRNA from 1 species